GUCUCUUCCUUCCUAGGCCUACCUCUGUUGGUGCUUUUGUCUUCCAACCUCCCUAUGUAGUAAGACCAGCCAAGCCCACAUGCCCACUGGGAGCCCUGAAACCAGAUCUGGUUUUCUGUCUUACCUGAACAGGUUCCCAGAACCCACACCAGGCCUCUGAAUCAGUCUCUGAGAAUCUGAUUGAUUUAAAGCCACUUGGUUGCUUCCAUUGCACUACCUGGGUUGCGAUCCCCUCAAUUGAUUUAGUAAAAAGAAAACUUAGCGGCCGGGUGCGGUGGCUCACACCUGUAAUCCCAGCACUUUGGGAGGCUGAGGCGGGUGGAUCACCUGAGGUCGAGAGUUCCAGACCAGCCUGACCAACAUGAAGAAAUCCCGUCUCUACUAAAAAUACAAAAUUAGCCGGGCGUGAUGGCGCAUGCCUGUAAUCCCAGCUACUUGGAGGCUGAGGCAGGAGAAUUGCUUGAACCUGGGAAGCGGAGGUUGUGGUGAGCCGAGAUCAUGCCAUUGCACUCCAGCCUGGACAACAAGAGUGAAACUCCAUCUCAAAAAAAAAAAAAGAAAAGAAAAGAAAAGAAAGAAAACUCAGCUAGGAAUUAGAAACAUCAUUUGUCCUCUUGGCCUGUUCAGCUGGUGACUGUAGAUUUGAUGAAAAGGAAACUUGGGACUCCGGAGGACCAAGAUGGAGCGAGACGGUCAAUACUGAUGGACUUGCAGCUAGCACCAUGGCAGCCCUGCCUGGUCUAAGGAAGCUGGCAGGAGGCGAUGGUACCUGGCGGGGGCAGACUGCCCACCUCCCCACUCCUUCAGAGGACUGUUUCCUGCCCUUCACACCAUCAUCAUGUUGGGCCCUGCAUGUAUGUUCCUGCACUUGGAGCGAGCCCAGGGACACAGGGCAGACACUGGGCUCACAGAUGUUGCUGCAGCUGAGCCAGAAAACAUUCCAGGCAGGAAAAGCAGGUGCACACAUUCACACAGGCCUCUGGUCACUCGACCAGCCAGAAUGAGACGGACUCCUUGACCUGGGAAGUCAAGUCCCAGUGGGAAGGGCUGGAAAUCACACGUGGUCAACUUCUUGGCUCUCUCUGCUCCCCAAACCCUGGCCCUAGGCUUGCUUUAUCAUCACAUCCCAAGGCCAGAGGGCUGCUGCUGUCCCCAUCUUGGCCCUGCUAGAAGAGGGAUAGGGGUGGCUGGCAUGAUGGGUGAGGGGAACAUGAGAAUAUGCAGAGGCCUUGGAGGAAGAGGACUGGCAGUUAUGACAGGAAGGCUCUCUAUACCUGGCUCCCCAGUGUUCUGCCCCUGGCACUGAGCAUGAGGAGCCAGGCUUUGGGGAGACUUUGCAAUCACCCCCCCAACCUGGUCCAUUUUCCACAGGUAGCUUUCUUGAACUCACCUUGACCCCUCCUCAGCCAGCAGCCCCCACCUCCAGGGGCAAAGGAGCUGAAAGACAGUCCUGAACUGGGGGGAGCUGGGAUCACAUCAGCCAGGCCCUGUCCCUCACAGGAAGUGAGAUGAGGUGAUACCAUGGAUGGUGACUAAGGCCCCAAAGUCCCUGCCUCUCUGCCUCCCCAGAAACCUCACAGCCAGGCCAGCCCCCAGAGCAGAGCCUGUGUAAACAUGCCCAGGAGGGGAGGAGGGGUUGCUACAUAUGAGAAACAGUUAAAAAUAAAUUUAAAAAGCACCACUAAAAAAAAAAAAAAAAAA
rnacentral:lncRNA from 1 species